rnacentral:rRNA from 1 species
GACAGAGGUGCCAAGCGUUAGGCGGAAUCACUGGGCUUAAAGCGUGUGUAGGCGGAAUGGUAAGUACCUUGUGAAAUCCCACGGCUCAACCGUGGAACUGCUGGGUAUACUGCUUUUCUUGAGCCACUUAGGGGCUGUCGGAACAAACGGUGGAGCGGUGAAAUGCGUAGAUAUCGUUUGGAACGCCAAUGGUGAAAACAGACAGCUGGGGACGCGCCGACGCUGAGACACGAAAGCCAGGGGAGCAAACGGG